AUGGGCUCCAGGCUCCUCUGCUGGGUGGCCCUCUUUCUCCUGGGGACAGAUCACACGGGUGCUGGAGUCUCCCAGUCCCCCAGACACAAGGUCACAGAGAGAGGACAGAAUGUAUCUCUCAGAUGUGAUCCAAUUUCUGGUCAUGUAAGCCUUUUCUGGUACCGACAGACUCCAGGGCAGGGCCUGCAGCUUCUGAUUUACUUCCAAGGUGCAGAUGCAACAGACAAAUCAGGGCUGCCUAGUGAUCGGAUCUCUGCAGAGAGGCCUGAGGGAUCGUUCUCCACGCUGAAGAUCCAGCCCGCGGAGCAGGGGGACUCGGCCGUGUAUCUCUGUGCCAGCAGCUUAGCCACAGCGUGGCACAGUCACCUCCUUCCUGCUCACAAACCUCCUCCUUCUCGCUCCUCGCAGCUCCCAGAGACCCUAAACAGAGGCCUCUCUUGCUUGUCACUCACCACGGGAAAGAAGGAGAUUUGGACCUCGACUGUCCUUUGGGUGGAAAGAGACCACAGAGUCUCUCCUGAAACACCGUGCCUGUAA